rnacentral:piRNA from 1 species
UGGCAGCUGAUGAGUGUGCCCACCGGAUGU